GCCUGACUGGCUCAGUAGGUAGGGCUUAUGAUUCUUGAUCUCAGGGUUGUGAGUUCAAGCCUCAUGUUGGGUG
rnacentral:tRNA from 1 species